UACGUAGGGCGCAAGCGUUGUCCGGAAUUAUUGGGCGUAAAGAGCUCGUAGGCGGUUUGUCGCGUCUGUCGUGAAAGCCCACGGCUUAACCGUGGGUCUGCGGUGGAUACGGGCAGACUAGAGGCAGGUAGGGGAGAAUGGAAUUCCCGGUGUAGCGGUGAAAUGCGCAGAUAUCGGGAGGAACACCGGUGGCGAAGGCGGUUCUCUGGGCCUGUACUGACGCUGAGGCGCGAAAGCUAGGGGAGCAAACAGG
rnacentral:rRNA from 1 species